UACGUAGGGGGCAAGCGUUGUCCGGAUUUAUUGGGCGUAAAGAGCGUGUAGGCGGCCAGACAGGUCCGUUGUGAAAACUCGAGGCUCAACCUCGAGACGCCGAUGGAAACCGUCUGGCUAGAGUCCGGAAGAGGAGAGUGGAAUUCCUGGUGUAGCGGUGAAAUGCGCAGAUAUCAGGAAGAACACCCGUGGCGAAAGCGGCUCUCUGGGACGGUACUGACGCUGAGACGCGAAAGCGUGGGGAGCAAACAGG
rnacentral:rRNA from 1 species